GACAGGUGCUUGUUUUGGGUUUUAGCUUUUAUCGGUGUUGGUACUUUGUCUUAAUACAUAGGAAUUUUAAAACUUUUAACUGCUUUCAAAUCUUAAAUUGCAGGUUAAUAUGGCUAUGAAAGGGCCCCCUCCUUUCUCAGGGGUACCCUUCAUGGGCCCCCCGAUGGGACCCCCUAUAGGACGGCCUCCAUCACCUCCCAUUCGGCAUGGACCGCCACUUCAGCUCGAUGGGCCUUUUGGGCCUUGGCCAAUUCCUCCACCAUUUGGUAUGAUGAUCUGAACAGUAGUGAUUGACUUAUAAAUCACAUUCAUCUUUCAUUUCUAUUGCUUGCUAAAACAGUUGGUUGCUAUCUCAAUUCUUAACAAUGAAAGGAUAAAGCUGAGUACAUUUUAACUUUUCCUCCAGUUUUCUGGGACAUAUGGGACACUACAUAAUCUUAUACUGAGAUAGGCAAUAACUAUCUCUCAUAGACAAGGAUAAGGGGCUAUAUACAGAAAAGCAAGAAAUAUUACUUCUGCAGAUGUUUGUUGAAAAUCUGUUGAUAUGCACUGCAAUAGAUGGAAAGGUGGAUGAGACACAUGCCAUAACUUAAAAUUUUGUCACAGAUAUGAAAAUCCUAUAACAUAAAGUUUGUAAUCACCCAUAAUGGAAGCAUAAGCAGUAGGUUAUAGAAUAUAGAAAAGAAAAAGUCAAACCCUCCUUACCUUAAGAAAAGUCAGAGGGAAGUGUUAAAGAGGAGGAUUUAACAGUGACCUAAUAAAUGUUGCUGAUUUAAUUAGGUGGCUGUGGAAGGCCUUUUCCAGGAGGGCAUGCACCUUGAUUCUGAUGGCAUGUGUAAAGUCCAUGCUGAAAUACUUCAUGAAUUUUUAAUGGAUACAGUAAUAAAUAGUGGGAUUUCCUUUUAUCAAAAUUUAUUUGAUGUAGUAAAGUUCUUAUUUCAUAAUCUAUCAUCUUGUCAUGGUAAUAUAGUACUUCCAAAUAUAAAUGGAGCUCUUGUGAGAUAGAAAUAAUUUUGCAAUUAUAUAGUAGGGAAAGAAAAAAGACAAGCCUGGAGCUAGGUAGAGCCAUGUUUAAAUCCUUAAUAUGUUGCUUCAUGGAUGGUUGGCCAAAGGCUAUAACCUAAACUUGUUCCAUCUCAGUUUGCCUCAUCUGGCAAGUCAGGAUGUUCACCAGUUGAUGUUCUAGGCUUGGGAGAAAUUAAAGACUAUAUUAACAUACUUGAAAUCACCCUAGUUCAGAAAUUUCUGGGUAUUUACAUAACUUCCUUUUUAUUUUCCAGGUCCUGGUAUUCGUCCACCAAUAGGCUUCAGAGCAUAUGCACCAGGUGUUCCACCUGGAAAACGGGAUUUGCCUUUUGACCCUCGUGAUUUUUUUCCAGGACCCGCACCAUUUAGACCUUUAGGCUCAUUUGGCCCAAGAGAGCACUUCAUUCCUGGUGCCCCAUUACCACCUCCAACUCAUGGUCCCCAAGACUAUGGGCCACCACCUGUUGCAAAAGACUUAAUUAAGCCUUCAGGCUUUAAAGAUGAACCUCCACCUACACCUGAUUCUCAGAGUAGUGAGGGCUAUUCACAGGCCUUAAAACUGGGCCCAUAAAAUUAACCUCUGACACUUAGUCAGAAAGUGGAUUAUGAACUAUUCAUUGUGUUAAAGAAUUAUUGGCUUCAAAAUAUAAAAGUUAUUUUAAAUGGUUUAUGUUUUUAGAAUGAAGCUGCCUUGGCGCAGUACACAUUUUGAGCCAAAAUAUUUUCCCCCUAAAUAUCCCCCACUUAAGCUAGAGUAUCCUUCCAACUUUAAAACGUGCAAUAAGGAAUACCUUUGUCUUAGUUAAUGUAGCAUAUACAAUUGCUAAAUGAUUUAGAAUGUCAUAAUUAUGGACAUUUCCUGUGGAAAUGCUUUAAGAACAUGUAUUUCCAUUAUCCUAUUUUUAGUGUAUUCCAGUUGAUACAGAGAAAUGGUGUUUUAUAAGCUUGAUUUUUCUCUUCUAAUAUCUGGU
rnacentral:lncRNA from 1 species